rnacentral:lncRNA from 1 species
UAAAGACCAUAAAAGGGGCUGUUCAGCCCCACCUUGAUCUCUUACUGCUUACUCUCUUGUCUCCCUCUUACCCCUCACUGUCACCCUCUCUCCCCUCUCUUUGUCUUCUCUCCUCUCUCCUCUCUCCUCUCCUCUCUCCCUCUUACUCUUUUUCUCUCUAGCCUCUCUCUCUCUCUCUCCCUCCUUCUCUCUCUCUCUCUCUUCCUUCUCCCUUUCUCCCUGCAUUUCUAUAAUAAAGCUCUUAAACCAUAGAGAGUCUCUGCUAAUCAAGGCUGUGUGCACUCUCACAGGUGUUGAGAACCUCUUCUCUCAUCCCUCUCUACUAUAACCCUAGUGGCUUUAGCAAAGUAGCUCUGGGGUCUGCAGGUAUGACAUAGGAGAACAAAACAACAGCCAGUAUAUGUAAAGCAGUAUUUGGAGCCAAAUUCUCUGACCUUUUAAAUAAAGAAGUGGAUGAAAUAUGGUAUUAUACACUGCAUUGGUGGGAAAACAGCUUGCAAUUUUUCUCUGGAAAAUUAAAUAAGCAAAAGAGAAGAUUGGCGAUAGGAAGGAUUACGUCUGAGAUGCAAGCAUCCCCCAAAAGCCCCUGAGGAAUGAUUGCAGAAAAGGGGGUUGAAAGAAGGCAAGAGUUGGAAAAUAUCAAGAAGAGCUGCAAAAGAAGAGCUGCAAAAUACUGUCUUCUAAAUAUGACAAGGCCAUUACAUGUCUGAAUUCACAACAGCUUGGUUACCUGCAGAGGACCUUCACAUGAUCAAGCAAAUAAAAGCAUUCCAGCAUGGACACAGGAAGGACAACUGAGGUCUAACUCCAGCUAAAGAGAUAAUGGCACUUCUGGUGGCUGAGAGUCAGACAUUUUCCUUUGGUAUUGUGGCUUUAGUAGGUUGCCCAUACUGUACUGGAUGGCUCCAUGCUAUGCGUGCACAUGGGAAAUACUAUUUGGACACAACUGGAUUGUUUUUAAAGCAAAAGACGUGAAAUUGCAAGCAUCAGGGCAGUUUGAGGGUGAAAGCAGGAAGUGUAUAUGAUAAUAAUUCAUUGAAUACAUAUAUAAAAUUCUU